rnacentral:rRNA from 1 species
GAUGAACGCUGGCGGCGUGCCUAAUACAUGCAAGUCGAGCGAACAGACGAGGAGCUUGCUCCUCUGACGUUAGCGGCGGACGGGUGAGUAACACGUGGAUAACCUACCUAUAAGACUGGGAUAACUUCGGGAAACCGGAGCUAAUACCGGAUAAUAUAUUGAACCGCAUGGUUCAAUAGUGAAAGACGGUUUUGCUGUCACUUAUAGAUGGAUCCGCGCCGCAUUAGCUAGUUGGUAAGGUAACGGCUUACCAAGGCAACGAUGCGUAGCCGACCUGAGAGGGUGAUCGGCCACACUGGAACUGAGACACGGUCCAGACUCCUACGGGAGGCAGCAGUAGGGAAUCUUCCGCAAUGGGCGAAAGCCUGACGGAGCAACGCCGCGUGAGUGAUGAAGGUCUUCGGAUCGUAAAACUCUGUUAUUAGGGAAGAACAAAUGUGUAAGUAACUAUGCACGUCUUGACGGUACCUAAUCAGAAAGCCACGGCUAACGACGUGC